UUAAAAUAUACAUGUCAAAGUGCUUCAAAUGCAGCAUACUAAUUAAAAUUCCUCUUGGAAGGUUUCAGUACCGGCAGCUAAUUUAGGAAGGUUAUUCACCCACAGGGUGUUCAAGAAAGGGCAUGCUGCCUUACAAAGACACUUGAGAAGAAAAAGAAAAUUCUAACUGGACUUCACAAAUCUCCCAGAGUGCUCAACCAAGUCCAGAACUGCUAAAGGCCACUCUGAACAUAGGAAUCAAUGCAACCAAAGAUUUCUGUAUUUAUUUUUGGCCUUUCUGGGGACCCACAGCCAAAAGUUCUAGCCCAUCGGCUUCAUUCUAUUGCCUCCAGCGCAUUCCCAGUCCUAGACCAGCAAAGAGAUCUAAGGUAAUCAAGGAGAUUGGAAUGUGGCAAUAUCUAGGCGCUACAGAGCAAGUUGGCGCCUCUGUCCUCGGUGGUGGCAAGUUCAAAGGAAGCCCAGAAGAAGAAUGAAAGGAAGAGUCACACACAGGCUUCUAGUUAGAAUAGAAAGGGGAAAUGGAGCCUUUGACUCAAACACCUUCAGUUUACCUUUUUAUUUUCCACAGGUGAUAGAAUCAAAGUCUACUUUGGCAAGCAAGGUACAUUCCAAAGGUUUUUCAACGGACUACGAAAUAAAUUCUUGGAAAACUGAGCAUUUAGGAAACUUCCAAAUUCACAUUUGAAUUUGAAAUUAGUGGCGGAAUGACGAUUUAAAUUGAAAUGUGAGAAGUUUAAAUUCUGUAUUGCACUAGGAUCACUGGGCACUAAGGUGACCCCUUUUUCUCCUUAAAGUGGACCCGAUGCCUGCUUUUUCUCUUGCAUGUUCCCCCAGAGCCCAGACUCCGGGUCAUGAUCAAUACUCUUUUGGUACCUACUUAGAAUGUGGGCAACCCGAGACGUACACUCCUCUUCCCAAAACCUCUACUAAAAUAAGUGACAUGUUGGUAGUAUUUAGCUGAUUAGCUAAACUAAUCAGCACGGAGCUUUUUUAAAAUUAGAAUUAAGAGCAUUUUAAGCAUGGUGCGAUUCAAAUGCCAAGGACGAUUUUGCUGUUUGUGUAUUACCCGGUUGUGUGCAUCGGUUGUGUGCGAAUGGAGGAGCGCUGCCGUAACCUGUGACAAUUUUAAACUGUGCGAUGCACUGACAGUCACGAAUGUUAGUAAAGGACUGGGAAAGACGGCAAUAACAUACUCUAGUCAGGUGAAGAUUUUUCUAUCCCAUGCUCCCCUCAAAUGUGGGGGAAUUAAUUUCUGUCCAGCACCAAAGGGCAGGUUUCAUACCAUAACCUGACAAGAAACUUCUCACAGGUCUGGGUAACUCUGGUCAGCAGAGACACAAAGGAAACCUCCGGCCUGGCUAAGGCACUCUACUCUGAAAUGGACAGAAAACAUGCAUGUGUGGCCAACCACGCCAUUGCUCCCCUAAAGGCAGCUCAGCGUAUGCUGGGAGAAAGGCUGGGGUGGUCCACUCACCCCCAAAGUAUCAUGCAGAAGCCUGAAAGAUCUUGUAUAUUUAUACUUUGGAAAUGCGGUGGUAAUUGGCAUGACACAAAUGCUCAGAGCUAUUUGUAAUGAAGUCCUGCUUCAGCUGCUGUAUCACUACGUAACAAAUGGGGCUUUCGAGAUGCACUUCAAGAUGGCAGAUGAAACCAAGAAAACGUCAGCAGUAUACUAACGAUGCACAAGUCCACAGUAUUCUGAAACACUCAGUUUCACUUUUAUCUUGCUGACGGCCACCUUUCUUUCAUCUAACGGUGCCAAUGAAACUAUGGCAUAAUUCUUUACCGCUGUAGGGAAAUACACAGUACAGGCACAAAUAAUUUCAAAUAAACUUAAUGCAGCAGAAAGAGAACAGAACACACUUUGAGGUAAAACAGCCCCAGAAGUACAGGACACGACCCCAUGCCAGAAAGGGUGUGUGUGUGUGUGUGUGUAUAACUAUAUUGUACAAGGUGAAGAAAGCCUGUGGUCCAAAUUUGUCAUUUAAUAAAUAUUUAUCAGUUCUUUCCUUAUAUAAUACAGAUUACUCUCAUUCUGUGUACAAGGUCAACAAAAUAGUAAAAUGAUUAGCUCAGAAACCUUUGAAUGAAGCUUUGUUCCCGGCCCAAAAUAACACUUGAUCCAGUUCAAUUUUGCAGAUGACAAAGAACAAGGUAUACAAAAAAUAGAGUUACCGUUACUUAAUUCAUUCAUUCUCUGACCUCCAUGAUGGCAAGUUACUAACAAACAUGGAAUCACUACCCACAUUUUCCUGCAUCAAUUUCUCACCUAUUUUCAGUCUCAGAAAAAGUCACCAGAUAUACCUCAACCUUUACGAGCCGUUUUUAAAAAUGAGUACAGAACCAUGAGUUAGCUCCUUGACUCCUCAUUUCUAAUACACUGGAUGACAAUGAUUAGAAUUUACAAAUUUAAAAACUGAAAUAUCAAUUAUAGUUAUUUUUACAAAGCAGCAGACUGAAAUUUAAAAAGGAAUACAUUAUAAUUGAAUUUAACUAUGGUCACAUUCAUAGAUAAAUAAUGGUAAAAAAUUUAAUUACAUAUCAACACAGUGGUGCCAGUUUUAUCCAAGUGCAAUCCAUCCAAAAAAAAAAAGGGUUUAAGAUACACUCUUCAUUCAAGCACAAACUUCAUUCAGUGGAAAAUAAAGGAAAAUCAGCAAGUAAA